rnacentral:lncRNA from 1 species
CACAGGAGCAAGGUGAAUAGAGACCACGCAUCCUCCACAGCAUGGGGAACGCCCUGCUGGCUCGACCUCCUCACUUGCUCUCUCAAGUCUGCUGAAAGAAGAGCCACCAGAGAAUUCCCAACAAGAGCCCCUCUGGCAUGCGGGCAGUGUUUCUGAUCUCAAAGCCAUCUUUCCACAUAGUUCCUCCCUUCCUGCCCACCCCCAUCAGGAGUUGUUUAUUUCUCAGAACUAAAUGCCACGAUCCUUCUCAGCUACCUUGGCAGCAUUCUGUCAGAAACCAGUCAACAAACAGAGCAGGGAAAAACAGCACCCCGAAGACAGCAUUCAGGACCCAGCCCUUUAGACAAAAGGGAUCAGAUCAGGUCUACUAGAUGGCCUCAUUCAGUCAGACACACCCAGUUAAGCAGCCCUGGAAAGGGACUCUAGAGAAUGCUAGAAGUACUGUGAAGCUCGCAGAUGGCCUUGUGGACUUUAGCACUUCAGGAGAUUGAUGAACUCGAGACCAGAGAAACCCUCAGGCAGGAGCCAGCAGCAACUGGAGAGCCCAGCAGGCAGGAGAAGAGGGCAGCCAAUUCUGCCAUCUGCCCUGGGUACCCCAAGAAGGAGGAGGCAUGAGUGAGAAAAUCCCACCCGUUUGUAAAGAACCAAAGAGCACAUGGAAUUU